AGGUGUAUUGGGUUUUUUUUUUGUCACAAACAAACUUUCAUUAAAAAUAAAAGUGGUUACACUCCAUAGAGGAGACAUUGUUCCAGAACUGGACAACAUGAAAAUUCAGACAACCACAUUGACACUACUACAUAGAAGAUAAUGCAUCUUGCUCGAAAGAGAGGAAUUAUACAGCAGCGUACCAAUUCCUUUGAGAUAAAUAGGGAGGCAAAGUCGAAGGAAUCUGAGAACACAUUCAGAAAAGUCGAACUAUUGCCUGAAGCUGAAGGUGUAUUGUGUUUUUCAAAGUAGGUGUAUGUAGGCUACUGGUUAAACGCAUGAGUUGGGUCUAUUGUCUUUUUAUUUCGAAUUCUGGUGGAGAGAAUUUUGUGCGCCAUGUUUUUUGGUAUUAGCAAAAACUGAUUCUAAACCUAGAGGAAUAUUAACGACCAAUGCCUAACUCCUUCUAAUUG
rnacentral:lncRNA from 1 species